UGUUUGCAAGUUCGGCUUAUGUUCUCAGUUAUUUUAAAGUCCGUGUCGAGAAUACUCGCGGGAUAUUUUUAAAUUUCGUUGUGUUUACAUUAAAGUGUCAUACAUGGAGAACGAACAAACGAUGUAAAAGAAAAUCCGACCGUAGCAGUCAAAGAUGAUUUAAAAGAAGUUAAACUACCCGGGGGGAAAUCCGUUUUGCGCGACUGAAAAAUGGAGAAAGAAGGUGAAAAUCCGCACAAAACAUCGAGACUCUCUAUUAAAUCGCCCGUAUCGAACGAAGACGGCGUUUUAUUCAACAUGGCUCUGCAAUGGGAUAAACUAUCACCAGCAGAAUUUGAGCAGCUACAGGAUUUUGCUUCUUAUUCUACCAAAAAACUAGAAGAGGUUCUAGAAGAAUUCUGUGGUUCUGGUCCACCCCAUAAGAACAAUCCUGAUGGGG